UGGGGAUGCUACCAUGCAAGUCGAACGGAAUCCUUAGGGAUUUAGUGGCGGACGGGUGAGUAACGCGUGAGAAUCUGGCUUCAGGUCUGGGACAACAGUUGGAAACGACUGCUAAUACCAGAUGUGCCGAGAGGUGAAAGGCUUGCUGCCUGAAGAUGAGCUUGCGUCUGAUUAGCUAGUUGGUGGGGUAAGAGCCUACCAAGGCGACGAUCAGUAGCUGGUCUGAGAGGAUGAUCAGCCACACUGGGACUGAGACACGGCCCAGACUCCUACGGGAGGCAGCAGUGGGGAAUUUUCCGCAAUGGGCGAAAGCCUGACGGAGCAAUACCGCGUGAGGGAGGAAGGCUCUUGGGUUGUAAACCUCUUUUCUCAGGGAAGAAAAAAAUGACGGUACCUGAGGAAUAAGCAUCGGCUAACUCCGUGCCAGCAACCGCGGUAAUACGGAGGAUGCAAGCGUUAUCCGGAAUGAUUGGGCGUAAAGGGUCCGCAGGUGGCUAUGUAAGUCUGCUGUUAAAUAGUCAUGCUCAACAUGAUCAAGGCAGUGGAAACUACAAGGCUAGAGUGCGUUCGGGGCAGAGGGAAUUCCUGGUGUAGCGGUGAUAUUGCGUAGAAGAAGUAGCUGGAAUAAGUAGUGUAGCGGUGAAAUGCGUAGAAAUA
rnacentral:rRNA from 1 species